UACGAAGGGAGCUAGCGUUGUUCGGAAUCACUGGGCGUAAAGCGCACGUAGGCGGAUCUUUAAGUCAGGGGUGAAAUCCCAAGGCUCAACCUUGGAACUGCCUUUGAUACUGGGGAUCUCGAGUCCGGAAGAGGUUGGUGGAACUGCGAGUGUAGAGGUGGAAUUCGUAGAUAUUAGGAAGAACACCAGUGGCGAAGGCGGCUCACUGGUCCGGUACUGACGCUGAGGUGCGAAAGCGUGGGGAGCAACAGG
rnacentral:rRNA from 1 species